rnacentral:rRNA from 1 species
ACGCUCGACACCUACGGGAGCAGCAGUCGGGAAUAUUGCGCAAUGGAGGAAACUCUGACGCAGUGACGCCGCGUAUAGGAAGAAGGUUUUCGGAUUGUAAACUAUUGUCGUUAGGGAAGAUACAAGACAGUACCUAAGGAGGAAGCACCGGCUAACUAUGUGCCAGCAGCCGCGGUAAUCUGAGCGGGCUGGCAAGGC